AUGCGUUGUUGGGUAGGGGAGCGUUCUGUAAGCCUGUGAAGGUGUGCUGUGAGGCAUGCUGGAGGUAUCAGAAGUGCGAAUGCUGACAUAAGUAACGAUAAAGCGGGUGAAAAGCCCGCUCGCCGGAAGACCAAGGGUUCCUGUCCAACGUUAAUCGGGGCAGGGUGAGUCGACCCCUAAGGCGAGGCCGAAAGGCGUAGUCGAUGGGAAACAGGUUAAUAUUCCUGUACUUGGUGUUACUGCGAAGGGGGGACGGAGAAGGCUAUGUUGGCCGGGCGACGGUUGUCCCGGUUUAAGCGUGUAGGCUGGUUUUCCAGGCAAAUCCGGAAAAUCAAGGCUGAGGCGUGAUGACGAGGCACUACGGUGCUGAAGCAACAAAUGCCCUGCUUCCAGGAAAAGCCUCUAAGCAUCAGGUAACAUCAAAUCGUACCCCAAACCGACACAGGUGGUCAGGUAGAGAAUACCAAGGCGCUUGAGAGAACUCGGGUGAAGGAACUAGGCAAAAUGGUGCCGUAACUUCGGGAGAAGGCACGCUGAUAUGUAGGUGAAGCGACUUGCUCGUGGAGCUGAAAUCAGUCG
rnacentral:rRNA from 1 species